rnacentral:rRNA from 1 species
GAUGAACGCUGGCGGCGUGCCUAAUACAUGCAAGUCGAGCGAACAGACGAGGAGCUUGCUCCUCUGACGUUAGCGGCGGACGGGUGAGUAACACGUGGAUAACCUACCUAUAAGACUGGGAUAACUUCGGGAAACCGGAGCUAAUACCGAAUAAUAUAUUGAACCGCAUGGUUCAAUAGUGAAAGACGGUUUUGCUGUCACUUAUAGAUGGAUCCGCGCCGCAUUAGCUAGUUGGUAAGGUAACGGCUUACCAAGGCGACGAUGCGUAGCCGACCUGAGAGGGUGAUCGGCCACACUGGAACUGAGACACGGUCCAGACUCCUACGGGAGGCAGCAGUAGGGAAUCUUCCGCAAUGGGCGAAAGCUUGACGGAGCAACGCCGCGUGAGUGAUGAAGGUCUUCGGAUCGUAAAACUCUGUUAUUAGGGAAGAACAAAUGUGUAAGUAACUAUGCACGUCUUGACGGUACCUAAUCAGAAAGCCACGGCUAACUACGUG